GACGAACGCUGGCGGCGUGCCUAAUACAUGCAAGUAGAACGCUGAAGGAGGAGCUUGCUUCUCCGGAUGAGUCGCGAACGGGUGAGUAACGCGUAGGUAACCUGCCUGGUAGUGGGGGAUAACUAUUGGAAACGAUAGCUAAUACCGCAUAAUAUUGACUAUUGCAUGAUAGUCAAUUAAAAGGUGCAAUUGCAUCACUACCAGAUGGACCUGCGUUGUAUUAGCUAGUUGGUGGGGUAACGGCUCACCAAGGCGACGAUACAUAGCCGACCUGAGAGGGUGAUCGGCCACACUGGGACUGAGACACGGCCCAGACUCCUACGGGAGGCAGCAGUAGGGAAUCUUCGGCAAUGGACGGAAGUCUGACCGAGCAACGCCGCGUGAGUGAAGAAAGGUUUUUCGGGAUCGUAAAAGCUUCUG
rnacentral:rRNA from 1 species